GAGGAAGGGGGAGGAAUAUAGAAAGAAAAGAAAUGAGAGGAAAGAAAAUGGAAUUUCUGAUAUAAAAUAGUCUUAGUCUCCUCCUUAUACAUGCGCACAUAAGUAGAAUGGAAAAAAGAAACAAGUACUUGGGUAAGUUACAGGAUCAAUGUUAAACAAGAUCAAGUGUUAUAGAUCGAAAAACAGGAAUAAGUGCUCUACCAGAUUAUCUAUUUUAAUCAGGAAUAAGAUAUCAGUGAAAUUAUUCGUUGACAUGGGUCGUAAGAACUCCACAUGUUAUCAAGGUCAGCGGCUGACGCAUUUUGGCAACCUUUUCCUCCUCAUCAUUUUUUGCAUGUAGAUAAAUGUAUAAUAUAUAGAGU